CGAAUACACAAAAUUAUCCUAGCACAAUAACACAAAUGCGGGAUGUAUAAAAAGUAAAUUCACAAAAAUAUUGAACUCCGAGGAAAAUUAAAAAAAGAAAGUUCCUGAUCAAAUGACAAAAUCAAAACGAAUGGAUAACAACUGUCAUAUUCCUGACUUGAUACAAGCAUUGUCGAGCCACGUCGAAAAGAUAUUAAAAAUUGUUUUGGUUUAUCUAGGGUCUAAGCGUGACGCGGAAUUGGCUGAUUUCUUGAAGAGUGAAAACGGGAUACGAAUUCUGGAGGGACACAAGCGUUAUUAUUACAUCGAUAAGCGCGAAACGGGAAUUUGACAAAACAAUAAACUUGAUCAGGACCGUCGUCCCAUUGAAAAAAAUAGACAUCCUAAAACGGAUUAAGGAGUAAAGGUUUAUAAUAUAAAAUACAUAUAAGAACACACUAACAAGUAGUUCAGAUGAUAAACAAUACCUAGAAUCUAUAUUUUAA
rnacentral:lncRNA from 1 species